rnacentral:lncRNA from 1 species
GAAGAAGAAAGCCUGAGAUCCUGCUGUGCCCAUGCCAGGAGGUCCCAGGUUCCUUCCAAGCUUAUGGCCAGGAUUUGGUUUCAGCAGUAAUCUGAGGGAAGUGGUUGGCUCUUUCCUGCCUGCGCCUGGCCCACGUCCAGCAGCACAGAGGAGAAUGAAGAGGAUGGACUUUGCUGGAGGCAAGAACCUGUCCAAGGUGUGGAUCUGCUGCAUGUGCUCAUCUGGAAUUCUUAACGCCGUGAGGCUCAAGGGACGUCUUGACUGUUCCUCAUUCCAGCUCUCGCUGGAUUACUUGUCCAAGAGACAGCAAAAUUCACUGGUUUCAGUCUGUGGUGUGAUGGAAGGCAGAUCCUAUCAGAAACAUCUCUAUGCUAUCUGGUUGGCCAAGACACCUACAGGGAAGCUCGUCCUGGGGCCUGCAGCACAGCAGGAGGUGAGCAGCUCCCUUCAGACCUGUUGGCAUCACCUUCUUGUAAAUGCCUGA